CUGCGGAAAAACACCAAAUGCUGGAUGACGCCGGUGCCGCGGCGGGGCCCGGAGGCCCCGGGGGCCCUGGAACGGGAGGCGGCGGUGGCUUCCGCGGAGGCUUCGGCAGCGGCGUCCGGGGCCGGGGUCGUGGCCGUGGUCGCGGCCGUGGCCGAGGCCGCGGAGCUCGCGGAGGCAAGGCCGAGGACAAGGAGGAGUCUGAGAUAAUUGACUUCUCUUUGGGAGCAUCCUUCAAGGACGAGGUUUUGAAGAUUAUGCCGGUGCAAAAGUAGACCCGUGCUGGCCAGCGGACCAGGUUCAAGGCUUUUGUUGCCAUCGGGGAUUACAAUGGACAUGUCGGUCUGGGUGUUAAGUGCUCCAAGGAGGUAGCCACUGCCAUCCGUGGGGCCAUCAUCCUCGCCAAGCUCUCCAUCGUCCCCGUGCGGCGAGGCUACUUGGGGAAUAAGAUCGGCAAGCCCCACACUGUCCCUUGCAAGGUGACAGGUCGCUGUGGCUCUGUGCUGGUGCACCUCAUCCCUGCUCCCAGGGGCACUGGCAUCGUCUCAGCCCCUGUGCCCAAGAAGCUGCUGCUGAUGGCCGGUAUUGAUGACUGCUACACCUCUGCCAGGGGCUGCACUGCCGCCCUGGGCAACUUCACCAAGGCCACCUUUGAUGCCAUCUCCAAGACCUACAGCUAUCUCACCCCUGACCUCUGGAAAGAGACCGUGUUCACCCAGUCUCCCUAUCAGGAAUUCACUGACCAUCUUGUAAAGAACCACACUAGACUCUCCGUACAGAGGACCCAGGCUCCAGCUGUGGCGACCACACAGUUUUAUACAAGAAAAAUAAAGUGAAUUAAGCCUGUUAAAAAAAA